UGGGGAAUAUUGGACAAUGGGCGCAAGCCUGAUCCAGCCAUGCCGCGUGUGUGAAGAAGGCCUUUUGGUUGUAAAGCACUUUAAGCGAGGAGGAGGCUACUUGGAUUAAUACUCUAGGAUAGUGGACGUUACUCGCAGAAUAAGCACCGGCUAACUCUGUGCCAGCAGCCGCGGUAAUACAGAGGGUGCGAGCGUUAAUCGGAUUUACUGGGCGUAAAGCGUGCGUAGGCGGCUUCUUAAGUCGGAUGUGAAAUCCCUGAGCUUAACUUAGGAAUUGCAUUCGAUACUGGGAAGCUAGAGUAUGGGAGAGGAUGGUAGAAUUCCAGGUGUAGCGGUGAAAUGCGUAGAGAUCUGGAGGAAUACCGAUGGCGAAGGCAGCCAUCUGGCCUAAUACUGACGCUGAGGUACGAGAGCAUGGGGAGCAAACAGG
rnacentral:rRNA from 1 species